UGCAUGAAGUCGGAAUUGCUAGUAAUCGCAGAUCAGCAUGCUGCGGUGAAUACGUUCCCGGGCCUUGUACACACCGCCGUCACACCAUGGGAGUCGGUAACACCCGAAGUCGGUAGCCUAACCGUAAGGAGGGCGCCGCCGAAGGUGGGAUUGAUGACUGGGGUGAAGUCGUAACAAGGUAAC
rnacentral:rRNA from 1 species